CACCGAGACACUGACCGAGAGAGCCGCUCGUUGAGUGAGCUGACGAAUUUGGGAGAGAGCCUUGUGAGUUAUUGAGAGAGCGAGAGAGGAGCUGCUUCAACCGUGUAUGCCCUCUGUUGGACUCCGAUUGUUUUUUUUAUUGCCGGAUUAGGAACUGAUUCAGAUUCCGAGCCUGUGGAGGUUUGGUGGCGAGCCAGGAAGGACGAGCGACUUGGAUGGAACGGUGCACGGUGUGGCCAGCCGUGGGAUCCAUUCCGAAGACCCCCAGAGAUCAUCUCACUUCACUCAUUGACAUAGAUAAGAAAAUAACACACAAAUCUACCCAGGUAGUGAACUGAACAUCUCAGAACAUUACACGUACACCACAGAACAGAGUUGAACUCUUGCAUCCUAAUAACGAAGGAGGGACACUUUUAUUUAAACUUUUUUUAUUUUGUUUUUCAUGAAAGAGCUCCAUUUUUCGUAAUUUUUAUGUUUCAUACACUGCCAAAAAUUUACCUGUGUGAGGCAAUAAAUUGUCAACUGUUAACUUUAUGUUCUCUCAUAUGAAUAACUAUAUCCAGCUCUCCAAACCUAGAGAGUAUAGGUGUCAGUAGUAUGGUUUUGUUCAAGAACUGCUAAGGGCGCUGUCAAGUUUUGUGUGUUUUGUUUGAAUUUUUUUUUCUCUGGCUGACCACAACUCUGCCCAAACUUGAUAAAUGGCUUGCUCAUCUGAGGAACGCAAAGGACAACUCAAUUCUUUGAUUUUUUAUUUUCUUAAAGAUGGGGAGGAUGGAAUAAAAUAGAACCGAAUAGCAUAGAAUAGAACGGAAUACGUUGAAAACCUUAAAGAUAAAUAAAAAGAUAUGCAUUAGUUUCAAAUAAAUGCAUACAUAACAUUUUCUUAAAGAAUAUUAAAGACUAAGAUAAAGAAUAAAUGUUAAUUUCUCAACUAAUGAACUAAAUUCACAUAUUAAACCUAACACAAAAUUCAUUAAGUUUCAAAAUUAAGUCUCAACUUAGAUAGCAUGUUGUCAAAUACAAAUACAAACUGAAAAGGUCACAAAGCACAUAAACUUGGUCUGUCUGUGAUGAUGAACAUGAGCCAUGGCUGUAGCCUAUUGUUCUUCAGCAGCAGGUGAGAGAGUGAAUUGAGCUCCUUCCCAAACAUUUAUCAUUUUCCCUUCCUGUGAAACACUUCCUGUGAACAUGGGUGCACCAAAUUGUGUGGUUGCCCCCUGCAGGUUUGGAGUGCAUGCUGGGGAACCUGGCCUGUGCAUUUUGUGACUGGGGUUUUGACACAACGCCUCCCACUUGACCUCCUGGUUCUUCAACCUAAGGAGGUCACACCAGGUCUGUGAUGUAUUUGGCCUUUAUUUUUGAUUUUG